rnacentral:rRNA from 1 species
UACAGAGGUCUCAAGCGUUGUUCGGAUUUAUUGGGCGUAAAGCGCGCGUAGGCGGCUCGGAAAGUCGGUCGUGAAAUGCCGGGGCUCAACCCCGGGACUGCGUCCGAUACUCUCGAGCUGGAGGCAGGUAGGGGAGAUCGGAAUUCCUGGUGUAGCGGUGAAAUGCGCAGAUAUCAGGAGGAACACCGGUGGCGAAGGCGGAUCUCUGGGCCUUGCCUGACGCUGAGGCGCGAAAGCUAGGGGAGCGAACAGG